AUGGGGAAAGUUCCAGCCUGCUCGGCGGGGAUAAUUCACAACUCCUCAUCUGGUUUGUUCUUUGUGAGGGGAGACGGAUUCCCUUGGUCCGCAGCAAGGGCUCCUGGCCGGCCUGGCCUCCGCCCCGCCCCUGCCCGGCCCGGCCGCCUCGCCGCGCCUCCCAGCCGGAGUGGCUCCCGGACUGCGGGAAAGGAGUCUGUUCUGCUUCCUCUGGACCAGGCGAGGUCGCCAGGGCCGAGAGGGGAGGAGAGUCGCUCGCACGGCGGCUCCAGGACUUCAGGUUGGAAUGAGCUCUGGGGCCCAGGAGGCGAGGCUGUAGCUGACACCGGGCUUGGCGUCUGCUCGCGGCCCUGGUCCGGAGCGCGAGGCCAGGCGUCGGGAAGCUGGGGCCGCCCUAUCCGCCGCGGGGCAGGGCUGCCCGCUGCCCGAGAGUACGGCGGGGAAAGAGGCACGUUCCCUCCCCGGGGCGCCUUUGUUCAUUCGGGCCUGCGGGCGGGCGUUUGGCGACCGCGACCCUGGGCCGAGCCGCCAUCCAGAUGCAGCAGAUUCCAGGUUGCACUGGAAGAAUUUUUUACUCUGUUAGUGGAUCUACACUGGACGCAUCUCUGAAGCUCUCUCAGCAUCCUGCCUGUGGCCUACCACACAAAAAGCUUCAAUAGGGUUACCAAAAUCUGCCAUAACAUGGAGGGAAAGACUGAGGAACUAUGGUACUUGGACAGCAGAAAGGUAAGUUGCCCACCCCAAAAUGGAGUUUGUCCUUGUUCACAGUGGUGACAAUUCAAAAUAUUUAAUACCUAUAUAGAGCAGACCACUGACAAAUCAGCACGGAAGUCAGAUACAACCUGAUGAUUGAUGAUUGUUGCCCUAGUCAUCUAUUUCAUUAGGAUUUUCUAACUCUGUUAUUUGUUUACAUUUAUUAGCUGUUUCCUGAAGAAAAAGAGAGAGAGAGAGAGUUUUCAUGUUUCAAACUUUAAAAUUUUGAAAUGAAAACAGACUUACAAAGAACUCCCAUAUACUUUUUCAUCCCUAUUCACCAAUUGUUCAUGUUUUGUCUCAUUUGCUUUCUCUCUCCUUCCCUCUAUUCCUUUUUUACUCCCUGUCCCAUAAAUUGUUUCUGAACCAUCUAACAUUGUUCACUGAUAUUGUGCACCUUUUGCCCUAAGCGCAUGACUCUUUUUUUUUUUUAAUUUUUAUUUUUACUUUAUUUUACUUUACAAUACUGUAUUGGUUUUGCCAUACAUUGACAUGAAUCCACCACGGGUGUACAUGCGUUCCCAAACAUGAACCCCCCUCCCACCUCCCUCCCCACAACAUCCCUCUGGGUCAUCCCCAUGCACCAGCACCAAGCAUGCUGUAUCCUGCAUCAGACAUAGACUGGUGAUUCAAUUCUUACAUGAUAGUAUACAUGUUUCAAUGCCAUUCUCCCAAAUCAUCCCACCCUCUCCCUCUCCCUCUGAGUCCAAAAGUCCGUUAUACACAUCUGUGUCUUUUUGGCUGUCUUGUAUACAGGGUCAUCAUUGCCAUCUUUCUAAAUUCCAUAUAUAUGUGUUAGUAUACUGUGUUGGUGUUUUUCUUUCUGGCUUACUUCACUCUGUAUAAUUGGCUCCAGUUUCAUCCAUCUCAACAGAACUGAUUCAAAUGUAUUCUUUUUAACAGCUGAGUAAUACUCCAUUGUGUAUAUAUAUGUACUACAGCUUUCUUAUCCAUUCAUCUGCUGAUGGACAUCUAGGUUGUUUCCAUGUCCUGGCUAUUAUAAGCAGUGCUGCGAUGAACAUUGGGGUACAUGUGUCUCUUUCAAAUCUGGUUUCCUUGGUGUGUAUGCCAGCAGUGGGAUUGCUGGGUCAUAUGGCAGUUCUAUUUGCAGUUUUUUAAGGAAUCUCCACACUGUUCUCCAUAGUGGCUGUACUAGUUUGCAUUCCCACCAACAGUGUAGGAGGGUUCCCUUUUCUCCACACCCUCUCCAGCAUUUAUUGCUUGCAGAUUUUUGGAUCACAGACAUUCUGACUGGUGUGAAGUAGUACCUCAUUGUGGUUUUGAAAUGCAUAGAAAUAUCAAAUCAUUGUGGUUUUGAUUUGCAUUUCUCUAAUAAUGAGUGAUGUUGAGCAUCUUCUCAUGUGUUUGUUAGCCAUCUGUAUGUCUUCUUUGGAGAAAUGUCUAUUUAGUUCUUUGGCCCAUUUUUUGAUUGGGUUGUUUAUUUUUCUGGAAUUGAGCUGCAUAAGUUGCUUGUAUAUUUUUGAGAUUAGCUGUUUGUCAGCUGAUGUUUAACACUGAUACAAUAUCUAAUAUGCAAAUUUCAUAUUCAGAUUUCUCCUGUUGUCCCAGUAACAUCCCUUAUAAAAUUCCUUUUUCUAUAAUCCAGGGUCCAAUCUAGACUUGAACACUGUUAUUUAAUUGUCAUAUCUCUUUAGUCUUUAAUCAGGACCAGUUCUUUGGCCUCUUAUUCUUUUAAUCACUCACAUUUUAAAAGAGUAUAGGCCACUAGAUAAGUUUUCUAUUAUUUGGGGGGUUAUUAUUACAUACUCAAAUUUUUAAAUUUUUUAGAAUGUUAGUCAGUUGUAGCCAUUAUUGUUUUUGAUGGUUAAAGUGUCCAACUUUGGCCAUUGUGAGCCCCUCUUUGAGCUGGUUCUCCCUUUUUGAUUGAGCCUUGAUUAAUUUUUGGGACCUUUCUAGGUUUUUGGCAAAACAAAAUAUUCCAGGUCCUUCUUGUAGUUUCCUUUCUUGUCUUUUAUAUUUUCCUAUUUCUCCAAGGAGUCUUGCUUUCUUUUGAUAGAAAGUGAUAUUUAUAAAUCAAGAUCUGAGUGCUAGCUGGCAUAUGCAUUGUUAUUAGGGUGUCUUUGCUUCCAGGUCCUUUUGGGUAGACAAAGCCAGGAAACAUGUUUUCAAAAACCAUCAGAUUAUAUAGGUAUUUUAAAUUCCAAAUAAAAUUAACAUUAUUAUUGGGAUUUCCUACAAAGAAAAUAAGUCAAAUUUACAAUGCCAGCACAGUUGUCCCUUGGCAUCCACAGGGGAUUGGUUCCAGGACCCGCCUCAGAUACCAAAAUCUGCAGAUGCUCAAGUCCCUUAUAUAAAAUGAUAUAGUAUUUGCAUAUAACAUACAGACAUCUUCCUGCAUAUUUUAAGUCAUCUCUAGAUUACUUAUAGUACCUAAUACAAUGUAAAUGCUAUGUAGGUCAUUUCCAGGUACAAGGCAAUUUCCAUUUUUUGCUUUUAUCUGGAAUUUUUAAAAAGUAUUUUCAAACCACGGUAGUUUGAAUCCUUGGAUUAAGAACCAUAAAUACAGCAGUCAGACUGCAUAGCGAUCCUAGUAGGUAUAUCAUUGCAGUUUUAAUUUUCAUUUCUCUACUGACUAGUGAUAUUGCAGAUGUCUUCACGUGCUUUGUGCUCAGUCGCUCAGUUGUGUCUGACUAGUUGUGAUUCCAUGGACUGUGGUCCACCAGGCUCCUUAGUCUGUGGGAUUUCCCAGGCAAGAAUACUGUAGUGGGUUGCCACUUCCUUCUCCAGGGCAUCUUCCCAAUCCAGGGAUUGAAUCUGAGUCUCCUGUAUCUCCUGUACUGGCGGGCAGAUUCUUAACCACUGAGCCACCUGGGAAUUAAUAAGUCAUUUAUAUACUUUCUUUGGAUAUGUGUGUAUGUGCUAAAUGACUUUAGUUGUGUUUGACUCUUUGCAACCCAUGUCUAUUCAAAUCCUUUGCCCAUUUUUAUUUUUUAAUUUUUACUUAUUUUUUGUUUGGCAUUGCUGUGGCAUAUGGGAUCUUAGUUCCUAGAUCAGGGAUUGAACCCAGGCCCUCAGCAGUGACAGCAAGGAGUCCUAACUACCUUUGCUUGUUUUAAAAUUGAGUUACUUAUCUUUUUAUGGUUAAGUUGACAAGAAUUGGUGUCAUAUCUACAAAACCAUUGUUUAAUCUAAAGUCAUGAAGAUUUACAUCUGUAUUUUCCUCUAAGUGUUUUAUAGUUUUAGAUUUUACAUUUAGUUCUUUGAUAAAUUUUAAGAGACUCUAUAUAUGGUGUGAGGCAAGCCUCAAUUUCCCUUGCUUCACGUAGAUGGGAACUUGCUUCCCAGUUGUCCUACAGCCCGAGGAUUUUUAAUUUUUUCCCCAUGGAAAGAAAAUAUCCUUGGUCUUUUUUUUUUUUUUUUUUUUUUUUACUGCUGGCAUUCAGGCUGGAGGAGGAGCUCAGGGACUUGCUUCUGGGAACAUCUAUAUAUGUUUUUGGGAGUUCCGGUGAGUUUUCUCUUGUGCAGAUAGCAUCCUAGUGGCAGCAAGUGAGUGUGGCCAUACUGCUUGUACACUGAGAGAUAGCCUGUAUUCAUUCUGUCAAGGCUGCCUUUCCUCAGAAAAUGAGAGCUCUCCUUGGAGAAGGAUCCAAUUUUCAGAGGAGUUUGGGGUCCCUGUGUGUACAUGCUCUAAAUGUACGCUCCAACUGUUCAUCCAUGUGCAAGAAGCACAUGCAGGGAAGGGAUGAGUGUGCUGAGUUAUGUGUGCUUGUCUUGACUUAUGAGGACUUUAGUCUCCCCCAAAAGAAGACCAAUGCUGAAUGUGUGUACAGGACUCUCUCUUCCUUUCUCUUCCUCAGAUGGUAUAGUGAAGUGAAGUGAAGUGAAAGUCGCUCAGUCGUGUCUAACUCUUUGUGACUCCAUGAAAUUCUCUAGGCCAGAAUACUGGAGUGGUAGCCUUUCCCUUCUCCAGGGGAUCUUCCCAACGCAGGGAUUGAACCCAGGUCUCCUGCAUUGCAGAAGAAUUCUUUACCAGUUGAGCCACAAGGGAAGCCCAUGGUAUAGCGAAAUCACAGAGAAAAUAAAGUUUCAAGUCUUAGUAGGAAGCCCAAGUGCCCACAAUCUGAUUGGACAGAAAAUAGCACAUAUUGCUAUUGAGAGCCUUUUUGAUCUAAAUAUGGAUUAAGAGCCAACGUGUGGCUCUGCCUUAAGGAAAGAAUGUAUGUUUUGUCUAGAGAAGAGCUCCUUUAAAGUGGUAAGGUUGCUUGAAAAUUUGAUUUGUUUCUUCUGCUAUUUAUGAUCUGAGACUUUUUUUCUUUGUAACCAGAUUGGUUUGAUAUACGAGUGUGGUCAAUACAGAAGAGAUUCUUUUGGACGAUAAUUCUGAAGAAUGUGGUAACAACUACAUACAGAAUCAGUGCAUAGGCUGUAAAAGUUCUCAAGUUCAACAACUCUCCUACUUUCAUUGGCUGAUUGUAGAG
ensembl:lincRNA